rnacentral:rRNA from 1 species
CGAAAGCCUGACGGAGCAACGCCGCGUGAGGGAUGAAGGCCUCUGGGCUGUAAACCUCUUUUCUCAAGGAAGAAGAUCUGACGGUACUUGAGGAAUAAGCCACGGCUAAUUCCGUGCCAGCAGCCGCGGUAAUACGGGAGUGGCAAGCGUUAUCCGGAAUUAUUGGGCGUAAAGCGUCCGCAGGCGGCCUUGUAAGUCUGCCGUUAAAGCGUGGAGCUCAACUCCAUUUCAGCAGUGGAAACUACAAGGCUUGAGUGUGGUAGGGGCAGAGGGAAUUCCCGGUGUAGCGGUGAAAUGCGUAGAUAUCGGGAAAAACACCAGUGGCGAAGGCGCUCUGCUGGGCCAUAACUGACGCUCAUGGACGAAAGCCAGGGGAGCG